rnacentral:rRNA from 1 species
GAUGAACGCUGGCGGCGUGCCUAAUACAUGCAAGUCGAGCGAACGGACGAGAAGCUUGCUUCUCUGAUGUUAGCGGCGGACGGGUGAGUAACACGUGGAUAACCUACCUAUAAGACUGGGAUAACUUCGGGAAACCGUAGCUAAUACCGGAUAAUAUUUUGAACCGCAUGGUUCAAAAGUGAAAGACGGUCUUGCUGUCACUUAUAGAUGGACCCGCGCUGCAUUAGCUAGUUGGUAAGGUAACGGCUUACCAAGGCAACGAUGCAUAGCCGACCUGAGAGGGGGAUCGGCCACACGGGAGCUUGGACACGGUCCAGACUCCUACGGGAGGCAGCAGUAGGGAAUCUUCCGCAAUGGGCGAAAGCCUGACGGAGCAACGCCGCGUGAGUGAUGAAGGUCUUCGGAUCGUAAAACUCUGUUAUUAGGGAUGAACAUAUGUGUAAGUAACUGUGCACAUCUUGACGGUACCUAAUCAGAAAGCCACGGCUAACUACGUG